rnacentral:lncRNA from 1 species
AGGCCGGCUGGCCGCAGGGGAACCUUUCCUCUCCGGGUUCAGGGUCCGGGAGCAAACCCCGAGCUGCGGCAAAAAGGGCUGGUAGGCUCUCCUGCACCCCCGCUUGCUCCCCCGCCUUCCCUGUGUCCCCCGGCUUUUCCAGGAGGAAGAUGGGGUACCCAGCGGGGGUGGGGCGCGCCGGGCCGCGGAGCCGGGCUGUCACGUGCCCCCCUCUCCCCACACCCCCCGCCACUGCGGCGGGAGUUCCAAUCAGAGCGCGCCAGGGGGCUCCUCCCGGGCAGGAACCACCCGGCUCGGCGGCGGAGGGUGGGCCGCCGUCACCUGACCGCCCGCCCCCGCCCCCCGCGAGUAAGGGGCGGUGGUAGCGUCUGCUCGGUUACAAAUGGCCCCUCCCGCCCCGCUCGCCCGCUCGCUCGGGCUCGGCGCGGACCCGCCCGGGAGCGCUCCUCCCGCCGGCUGCCGGCGUCCCGCCGCCCUGCCCGGAGCCGGCCGGCGGUCCCCGCCAACCCCCGAGGGCGCUCCUGGCACCCAGCACGGAGGCUUGCCCGCGGAGGUCGCGCCGGGAGACUGGACCGCGGUAGCGCGCGGCUUGCCUUCCCGCAGGUGAACUUUGAUAUGGUGGACGGUGACUCUUCUCCUGCAUGCGAGUGGUGGUUCAAACCGCCCACCAUGUUCCUGCCCAAGCGAGGCUACGCCAGCCGAGGGUACCCUGUGCAGAGGGCCAGUGGGGCCCCAUACAGCCAGCACCUGCCACGUGAGUGAGAUUUCAUUUUCAUCUGAAGAUGCUCUCUAUCAGACUCUCAUCACCACACCAGGGUUCAUAUAAAUGUCCAUUUUUCACAGAGCCGUAGAUUUAGAGCAGCAGUCCCCAAAUCUGGAUUAUCAGAAUCCCUGGGGGUAGGGGUGGAUUCCUGGGCUUCACUUUCAAACCAACUGCAGCAGAAGCUGGGAGUGGGGAGGGAGGGAGCCCUGAAUCCCACCUCCCCAUCCUGAGCCAGUCAGCCAGGUUGGGGGGAUGUCAGCUGCUGGAGAAAAUCUGCAUUGACCCAUGGACACCCUGGGAGCUGGUUGAUGAGGAAACACACCCUAUUUCUAUUGCCAUCAUCUUUUUCCAGAAGGAACAGGCAGGAAAAUGGUUUGUUGAUUUGAGACCUCUGAUGUUAUAAAGCUUAGAUAAAUGUCACGUCCUUCCAAUUGCCUUCGCCAAGUGAUCAUUACGUGACGUUAAACAUACACACACACACUCACACACACCAGAAUUAGCUAGCUUGACCUUGCCAAGCAAAUAGUGAAGAGGAAGAAGUAAUAUAAACAAGCCAGAGUGGGAAAUAAAGAGAUAAAAAGCUUUGGUUAAAAUGGGUGCAGAAUUCUGGAACACCAGAAAUGUUAACAUGCUCAUCAAUGCCCCUGGCAUGGCUGAGGCACUUCAGAGGCAACAGCAGGUAACCGGGCCCUGAGCAGAGAGGGAGGGGCAGCUGUGAUGCGCCAGCCCCCUGUUCUGGGGCACGUGGUGGCUGGGGUCCAGCCCAGGCCACCCAGCAGGUAGCCACCCAUAUACUCUGUUCUGCAUCUGCAUCUGCCCAGGGAAAGGGGGACUUUCUUGAGCUCACAAAAGGCUCCGUCCCCAGGAAAGGCCCGAUUGUUUCCCUUGCAGAAGGCGCUGCGUGCUCUAGCUGAGUGUGUCAAGAUCUGAAGGAAAGACGCUGCGUAGAUGAGCAGACAAGAGGGAGGUGGGCGGGGCAGGGCCACCGGGACCUGUGUGCUUCUGCUGGACUUGUAUUUUACUCUGGAUGGACAGGGGGAGGGAAGGAGGGGACAAACAAGAGAAUGACAGGCUCUGAGUCAUCUUUUAGAAGCGUCACUCAGGCUGCAGUAGAGUGAACCACCGAGGGACGAGUUCGAUGCGUGGAGCAUUGUCCAGGUGGGAGGUGGGGCGCCGGCAGGGGUAGAGGGCUGGACUGGCCAUGUAGGGUGGCUGUGGAGAUGAGAAAAUGCCCUUCAGUGGCAAGAUGUUGGCCAUCCUGAUGGCUCAGAGCAGACACUAAGGACAAAGCUGUGUCUCUGCCUCUAAGAUUGCGGGGACUUCCUCCACAGGAAGAGCGUGGCCGAGCUGCAGGUCCUGCUGUGUGGCACUGGGCUGCGGGGGACCCCACGAUCAGGCUGAAGAGUGGCUGACCCUGGAGCCCACGAGAUGGAGGAAGGUGUUCAGAGCCACAGAGGCAGGCACACGGGGUGUACUGGGGGGACGCCAGCUCCACGAGGGAGGAGGGGCAGGUGCAGAAGUGAGGAGCCAUGGGAUCUGCAACUUGUGGGCAUGAUGGGGGCCUUGGAGAGAUUAAUCCUGAUCCAACUGGCCCUCUGGAGGAAUCCCCAUGGUGUCGCUGUGCAUCAGGGCACGAGAGCCGAGAGGCAGGGAGGUGAGUGAGGAGGUCUGACAGUCAGCUGUUCAUACAGAACAGCUGUGUGCACGUCCUGAGGACGCUGGGUGCCAGCUUUCUUUUUCCGUUUUCAAACGCUUAGAAAAGACGAGUUGGACCACGCAAGUCUUAGUUUGAAUGAUACAUUCACUCAGCCAGUAUUUAUCAAGCAUCCCCUACAUGGCGAAGGCUGGGGACCCGAGAGGGAGGCUGGAAUCGAGUGGCAACAGCUCGCCGCACACUGUGUGGUAAGAACCUUCAGGAAGAGGCCCAGAGGCUUGGAAAGCACGUGACAGCAGAGUUGGGUCUGGGCUGGGGGACGGUGUCCAGGAAGUCAUGUUGGAUUGGAAAGCCGAAAGAGAAGUUGGUGUUAAACUAUGUGAAAUAGAGAAUGAGGCAUUCCAGGAGGAGGAAGCAGCUUGUGGUGGAAAGGAGUAUGGCAUGUUUGAGAAGUCAGAACAGCAGAUAAAUGGAUGGACCUAGAGUCUGUCAUACAGAGUGAAGGAAGUCAAAGAGGGAAACAAGCAUAGCAUAUUAACGCAUAUAUAUGGAAUCCAGAAAAAUGGUAUAGAUGAACCUAUUUGCAGGGCAGGACAGAGACCCAGACGCAGAGAGCAGACAUGUGGGCACGGGAUGGGGAGGGCAGUGGGCCAAGUUGGGAGAGGAGCACUGACAUAUAUGCGCCCCCACGUGUGAAACUGAUCGCGAGGGGGCGCUGCCGUGUAACAGGGAGCACAGCUCCGUGCUCUGUGAUGAGCGGAGGUGGGGCGGGCUGAGAGAGGGAGGAGACAGAUGUGAACAUAAAGCGGAUUCACGUUGUUGUACCGCAGAAACUGACAGCAUCAUAAAGCAGUUACACAUCAAUAAAAAUUUUUAAACAGAAUUCAAAAUAUAAACGAAGUCAACAGGGUGUAGACAGAGGGGAGAUGAAAGGCCGACUCUGCUGGCAUUCUGCUUCUAACCCCUGGCUGCUCUCUGUUCCCUCCGCACUCCAGAGGCAGCACGGAGGUCAGUCGGCUGGCAUGGUGCGGUGGGGCAGCUGGUGUUGUGAAUCAGGCCGUCGCCAAUCAGAGAACGGCUACUUCACAACACCAGGGUCACACCCCACCCCAGGCAGCGCUCCCAGCUCCAG